GGGCUUUCUCCAAGAUCCUCGGUUUCCUCCCACAUUCCAAAGACGUACAGGUUUGUAGGUUAAUUGGCUUGAUAAAUGUAAAAAUUGUCCAGUAUAAAAUUGUCCAAUUUCCAGUAUAGUUCCUGGUGGGUACACAGAAAUGCUGGAGUCACUCAGCGG